UAAGGGCGCUGAAUGAGUGGGAAAGGGAAAUGCCGACCAAUUGCGCUGCGGCGGGCUGUGCCACUACCUACAACAAGCACAUUAACAUCAGCUUCCACAGACCGGGCCUUGACAUGAAUGACGCCGUAAGGGAGAAAGAGAUCUUCCCAAUCAGCAAUCACCGUAAAAGCCUGCUGUGUUCCCGUUAAAAUUAGGAAAUUCUCACUAGAUGAAUUGACAUGGGAGGCAUUUAGAUUUCUAAUAGUCACAUAGUAAUUCUGCGGAGGAAUUGAGUCAUCUUUGAUAGCCAUGGAAUUAAGCGAUGUUAAUUAAAGUGCAAAAGAUAACCUUUCUGUUCUUACUAGAAUAGAGUAAUAAAAAGAACCUAGGUUUUCUUUUGUUUGCUGGAAGAAAAAUCAAAAUUCUUUAGUUCUGUCAAACCAGAACUCUUGAAAGCACUUUGAACAAUGCCUGGAAAAUAACAGGUACUCUGUAAAUGUUUACCUUCUCUGCAAGUGCCUGCCACGUGCCCGAAGAAAAGACACAUUAAAAAGUUAAGUGACACCAGUCCUGAUUUUAUAUAUUUUAUAUACCUAACAACGUAUAUGUUAGUAUGUAGAAAUUAUAUCCUUGACCUUUUUCCCUACCUAUUACGAACUGUACUUUUAUUAAAAGCUGCCACUUAAAAAAAAU
rnacentral:lncRNA from 10 species